UACACUUGUGAAAAUACACGUCCCCAAACAACUUACGUCACUAAGAAACUAGCUAUUACUAGUUAUCUUACACUUGUGAUACCUUUUUCCUAUACACUUGUGAAAAUACAGGUCUCACACAACUGUUUUAAAAUACACUUGUGAACUAAAGUCUACAUAUCACAAAGUGUAUUUUAAAACAGUUGUGUGGGGACAUGUAUUUUCCUAUACAAAAACGAUUCUCUGCUUUGGCAUUAAUUUUCAGAUACAACGAAUACACAACAAAUAUUUAAUUUUUGGUGUAGGCUGUAAAUAAUAAUCUUUAAUUUCAGAUUUAAAUAAAGAUGCUAAAAUCUGCAAAUAUAAAUGACCAAAGAAACAUCUAUUAUCUAAAGUCAUGAAAAAGGAACUGUUUCGCUCAGCAAUAUUUUAUACGUAGUUACCAACACAGACAAAAGACAUCAAAAGUGGGGAAUCAAAAGCUCUGUAGCGAUUGAAGUUUUCAGAGGUGUGGUACUGUACAAGAUCCUCACCGCUCAUUUCAGAGGUGUUGUGCCAGAUCUUCACCGCUCAUUACUUCCAACUGAGUGAUGAUAUCUUGGGACAAAGAUUUGACAGACAGAUCAACGUCUUCCAGUAGUUCACCCAAGAAUGGAAUUGGUUUCAGCGAGCAGUACAAGGUACUCUUCUUUCAGAUUAUCCAUCAUCUGUUUCACGCUCCAUCUACAAUCUCUGACUCUGCCCAAUCAAUACUUCUGAUAAAGAGGGGUUUGAACUCAGACUCGGUUAGCUUCUUUUCUUUGUGAGUGUAACCGUCGCAUUGAUUACACUUUUCUCCGCAUCAUCAACGUUCUGAAUUGUUGCUGGAUUUUGGCGUCGGAUAUCUAGAGCAGCUAAGCAUUGGUCGAAAAUCUUUGCAUGGUUGCAAACAACAGAUGCUCUGUCCAUUUUAGCAACUAGAUUUUCUAGCAUAUCGAAAGCAAUCACCAAACUUGCAACGCCAGAACUAACAGCCUCAUUGUAUAUUCGUAGAAGAGAGGUUGCAGAGUGAGGCGGACCUGGAAGAAAGGUUAUUAUUGUUAGACCAUCAAUAACGCAGACUUUAGUGGGGUUUUUAAACAAAAAUAGUGAUUUAAUUAAAUCAAAAUUAAUUAGAAAGGUUAUUACUGAUCCUUAGCUUAGGUUUUUUGUGAUCGAUUAUUUGGUGGGUUUCAAACCACGUGUCACCAAAUCAGAGGACCGAACUUUAUUUUUCUUUUUCUUUCCUUUCUUUCUUUUGUUCUCUUUCUCAUUCUUUCGUGUUCUUUGUUUUCUCCGUCAAGAGGAGAGACCCAAAUCGAAGACGUCUCCUCCGCCUUCUCGGCCGAAACCGAAGACCGACGACGUCUCUCUGAUUCCGUCGUUGAGUCUCGUCCCACUUGUCUCGUCUUCUCCAUCAGAUCAAGGAUCGAAACCGAAGACCGAUGACGUCUCUCUGGCUCCUCACGGAGAUUCCUCCGCCUUCUCCGCUGAAACCGACGAUCGAAACCAAGGACGACUCUGUUGGUCCUCACGGAGUCUCGUCGCACUUCUCUCGUCUUCUCCGUCAGAUCAAGGAUCGAAACCGAAGACCGACGACGUCUCUCUGGCUCCUCACAGAGAUUCCUCCGCCUUCUCCGCCGAAACCGACAAUCGAAACCGAGGACGACUCUGUUGGUCCUCACGGAGUCCCGUCGCACUUCUCUCGUCUUCUCCAUCAGAUCAAGGAUCGAAACCGAGGACUGAAGACGUCUCUCUGGCUCCUCACGGAGAUUCCUCAUACUUCAUGUGAGGGUCGACGACUCUGUCAGUGUUGACGGCGUCUCCUCCGUCGGUCUUUCAGCUCUCGCUAACGAUCUCUUCAACGUGGAGAUAAGUUCCCAACUAUUUACAUCCUUCUCGUUUCAAUUCAUGAAUGCAUGUGAUAGUAGUUAAGUUAAUGAAUGGUGAUUACGGUUAUAAGUUUUGUGUAUCAUUGUAAAGUUUUAGCCUUUGAUCAAAAGUUGUAGGCUUUUUAAAUGUUUAGUUAAAAAGUCAUGAGGAUACAAUGAGAUUGUUAGUUAAUCUUGAAACUAGUACUGAAGAUCAGACUGGAACUUAAGUGUCGUGUAGUGUUGUCUGAAAUCUCUUUAGAUCAUUUUCUGAUUUGUCAAACAAUUUGAUUUCUGACUAUAGUAUCGUUCUAACAGUUUAUUGUUUACUUGGUUUGACUUGGUUUGCGUAGAUGAAUCAUGUGAGGAGGCAAAGAUCAGAGUGAGGACGCAAAGAUCAGAAUGAUCUGGCUACUUGAGACUUUAGGUUAUAGAAAUGAAGAGAGUGUCUGUUUGUGUCACAAGUGGACACAAGAUGCACGUUCAGUCACAAAAGCAUGCAGAGAUAUGAAGAGAAGUUUGUUUGUUUGUGUCACGAGCUGUGUAUGUGGGCUUCUCAAAGUCACGAGUGUGUCUCAUUAUGUAAAUAUUGUCUUUGCUUUUUCUAGUUUGUUGUUUUCCUAUAGUCACGAGUGUAAUAUGUUAUGUCUUUUGUUAUAUAAACGGUUCAUUCACGAAGCAUUUGAAUCAGAAAUUCUUCUUCUCUCCCAAA